rnacentral:lncRNA from 1 species
UCUCAAGCAUUUAAGAAUAUAAUUCAAGUUACACGAACUUACCUCAUUACUUGUUUGUGUUUAUAAUUUCAUUAAUCUGAUAUCUUUUCUUUUCCACGAUCAAGUCUCAUAUUUGAGUCGUCCGGAUCUUUAUAAAUAAAUUUGAUCAUCAUUUUCAUUCAUUUCAUAUUCUAAUGCAUUUAAUUAAUACUCUAGGCAAAAUUACCAUUUUGCCCCUAAACUUUUAAUUAAUGACAAU